GUGCCAGCCGCCGCGGUAAUACGGAGGGUGCAAGCGUUGUUCGGAAUUAUUGGGCGUAAAGAGCGUGUAGGCGGUAUGAUAAGUCAGAUGUGAAAGCCCUGGGCUUAACCUAGGAAGUGCAUUUGAUACUGUCAUUCUUGAGUAUGGGAGAGGAGAGUGGAAUUCCCAGUGUAGAAGUGAAAUUCGUAGAUAUUGGGAGGAACACCCGUGGCGAAGGCGACUCUCUGGACCAAUACUGACGCUGAGACGCGAAAGCGUGGGGAGCAAACAGGAUUAGAAACCCGCGUAGUCC
rnacentral:rRNA from 1 species